AGAACGAACGCUGGCGGCAUGCCUAAUACAUGCAAGUCGAACGAACACUUCGGUGUUAGUGGCGCACGGGUGCGUAACGCGUGGGAAUCUGCCCUUGGGUUCGGAAUAACAGUUGGAAACGACUGCUAAUACCGGAUGAUAUCGAAAGAUCAAAGAUUUAUCGCCCAGGGAUGAGCCCGCGUAGGAUUAGCUAGUUGGUGAGGUAAAGGCUCACCAAGGCGACGAUCCUUAGCUGGUCUGAGAGGAUGAUCAGCCACACUGGGACUGAGACACGGCCCAGACUCCUACGGGAGCAGCAGUAGGGAAUAUUGGACAAUGGGCGCAAGCCUGAUCCAGCAAUGCCGCGUGAGUGAUGAAGGUCGUUAGGGUUGUAAAGCUCUUUACCGAGAUGAUAA
rnacentral:rRNA from 1 species